GACGAACGCUGGCGGCGUGCUUAACACAUGCAAGUCGAACGGUAAGGCCCUUCGGGGUACACGAGUGGCGAACGGGUGAGUAACACGUGGGUGAUCUGCCCUGCACUUCGGGAUAAGCCUGGGAAACUGGGUCUAAUACCGGAUAGGACCACUGCCUGCAUGGGUGGUGGUGGAAAGCUUUUGCGGUGUGGGAUGGGCCCGCGGCCUAUCAGCUUGUUGGUGGGGUGAUGGCCUACCAAGGCGACGACGGGUAGCCGGCCUGAGAGGGUGACCGGCCCCACUGGGACUGAGAUACGGCCCAGACUCCUACGGGGGGCAGCAGUGGGGGAUAUUGCACAAUGGGCGCAAGCCUGAUGCAGCGACGCCGCGUGAGGGAUGACGGCCCUCGGGUUGUAAACCUCUUUCAGCACCGACGAAGCGCAAGUGACGGUAGGUGCAGAAGAAGGACCGGCCAACUACGUGCCAGCAGCCGCCGUAA
rnacentral:rRNA from 1 species